ensembl:snoRNA
GAGUGAUGAUGAAAACGUUUUACUACUGACCUUUUUAACUAUGAAGUUUUCUACACUUGAUCUAAGCUUA